rnacentral:rRNA from 1 species
ACGGAGGGUGCAAGCGUUGUUCGGAUUGACUGGGCGUAAAGGGCGUGUAGGCGGUUUGUCAAGUCGGGUGUGAAAGCCUGGGGCUCAGCCCCAGAAGUGCAUCCGAAACUAGCGAGCUAGAGCGCGAUAGAGGAGGGUGGAAUUCCUGGUGUAGCGGUGAAAUGCGUAGAUAUCAGGAGGAACACCGGCGGCGAAGGCGGCCCUCUGGAUCGUUGCUGACGCUGAGACGCGAAAGCGUGGGGAGCAAACAGGAUUAGAUACCCUGGUAGUCCACGCCUUAAACGAUGGGUACUAGGUGUUCGGGGUGUUGACCCCCUGAGUGCCGCAGUUAACGCAUUAAGUACCCCGCCUGGGGACUACGGCCGCAAGGUUA